GACAAACGCUGGCGGCGUGCCUAACACAUGCAAGUCUGACGGGAAAGUCUCCUUCGGGAGACGAGUACAGUGGCGGACGGGUGAGUAACGCGUGGGAAUCUACCCGGUAGUGGGGAAUAACCCCCCGAAAGGGGAGCUAAUACCGCAUAAGCCCCAAGGGGUAAAGAUGGCCUCUUUUCUAAUGCUAUCGCUUCCGGAUGAGCCCGCGUCCUAUUAGCUAGUUGGUGAGGUAAUGGCUUACCAAGGCUACGAUGGGUAGCCGGUCUGAGAGGAUGAACGGCCACACUGGGACUGAGAUACGGCCCAGACUCCUACGGGAGGCAGCAGUGGGGAAUUUUGCGCAAUGGGGGAAACCCUGACGCAGCAACGCCGCGUGGAUGACGAAGGCCUUCGGUCGUAAGUCCUGUUCUUGGGGAAGGAACAAGUAGAGGGCCGAAUACCCUUUACCCUCGACGGUACCCCACGCAGAAAGCUCCGGCCAACUUAUGUGCCAGCAGCCGCGGUAAGACGUAAGCGUG
rnacentral:rRNA from 1 species